AACGAACGCUGGCGGCAGGCUUAACACAUGCAAGUCGAGCGCCCCGCAAGGGGAGCGGCAGACGGGUGAGUAACGCGUGGGAAUCUACCCAUCCCUACGGAAUAGCUCCGGGAAACUGGAAUUAAUACCGUAUACGCCCUACGGGGGAAAGAUUUAUCGGGGAUGGAUGAGCCCGCGUUGGAUUAGCUAGUUGGUGGGGUAAAAGCCUACCAAGGCGACGAUCCAUAGCUGGUCUGAGAGGAUGAUCAGCCACAUUGGGACUGAGACACGGCCCAAACUCCUACGGGAGGCAGCAGUGGGGAAUAUUGGACAAUGGGGGCAACCCUGAUCCAGCCAUGCCGCGUGAGUGAUGAAGGCCUUAGGGUUGUAAAGCUCUUUCGGCGGGGACGAUAAUGACGGUACCCGCAGAAGAAGCCCCGGCUAACUUCGUGCCAGCCGCCGCGGUAA
rnacentral:rRNA from 1 species